rnacentral:lncRNA from 1 species
AUGAGCGGAAAACGGAAACUGAGUUUAAAGUGGUUUGGAAUUCUCCCUAACUUCUCCUUCCGUCGCAGCUCAUUGUCUGACAAAUUCGACUCCAAGUCCUCCUCCGCCGAGCCUGAUGGGGCUGUGGAGACGUUUUUUAACGACAUGGAUAUGAUGCAUCCAUGCACAUCCAGCUCCAGCGACAACUACACCCACAUGGGCACCUUUCCCCGCUUCCUCCUCAGGAAGAGAGACAAGAGUGGGAAUUCUGGGAAGAGAGAGACCAAGAAGAUCAAGGAGAAGACCGGGGCAAGGCUGGGCAGGAGUCAGAGCCAGCGGCCGGCAGGGGACCAUGUGUGUAGCUCUCACCUGCUCAUGGCACAAUCCAGCCGGCCUGGCUCCAGAAAGGACCAGCCUCUCUCACCUUUAUCCACCCAGGCUGGUCCUGAUCCAAGGCCCCAACGGGACCAAGGGCUGCCUCCCAUCCCCAGAGGAGGAUCACUCGAUAGGAAUGAACACGGAGACCCACAGGCCCACUGUGAGGAAGAAGAACCACACCAAGGGCAGCUUAUGUCAGCUCAGGAUGUGGGGUCUAGUACCUCUAACGCCCCGCCGCUCACUUGUGAAGACGUCUCCAAAGAACGCGCAUUCACCACUGAUCAGGGUGCAUCUUCAGAUACAGCUUCAACUGGUGGGGCUAGAAGGAACCUUGCUACUGUUCCUGAGCCACCUCCAACCCCCAAGCUUCUAAAGAAAACCUUGCAGCAGCCUGGGACCCUUGUCACUCAUCAGAUCGAGGAGGGCCUCCCCAUGAAGAGAGCCGAUAACCUGGGUACAGACAGUAACUCUAGCCCCCUGCCUGAGAGGGCCUCCAGUGGUUCUACUGAUAGAGACCUGGGAGAGGGCCUUCAGAGGGAAAGCCAGGCUGUUAAACCUGUGGACAGUCACAUGGACCAUAUAGACAACAAGACUGAAUAUGUCAAGGUAAGACUUGUUUUUUUAUUUAUUUUUAUUCCUCCUACACUAUGUCUUUCUGUUAGUUUGUAGGCCGGUUCUGCUAGCAUCAUGGUUCCUACUCAGAAGGCCCAGAAAUGGCUUCAGCAUCUGCGAAAAGGAAGGGACUAAGAGUUAAAAACCCAUCUGAGCAAGGGGUAACCAUUUAGCAUCAGUGUGAGUUGGUCUUUUCCAGUUGAUCUCCUCACCCUGCUUUGGCUUUGUAGUGAGGUUUAAGGGGACCUAUAGUUGAGCUCCUGACUCCAGGACCAGUGUUUGUAAUUGAAUUAGGAUCAGUAGCACAAAGAGGCUCUGCCCCCCCCGCUCCGCUCUGCUACAGUCGAAUGGCUGCUGAUGAAUGAUGUUUGUUUCCAUGGGCAACUGAGCAGGAAGCAGGAUCUUGGCCAAAGGCCUUGUUUCUAAACAAAUUAGUUGUGGAGUACCUACCUACACAUGCCUAACUCUCCAAACCUUCUCUUGUUUUGCAUUUUUUUACUUCUUUUUUAAAAAUAUAUAAGUUGAACUGUUUUAGAGUAAGUGACUUCACAAACCAUAAUGUAGUACUCUGCAGAAUUCAGACUUGAGGGUCUUAAAAAAAAGAAGCAAUUUUCUCUAGUUAUAUUGGAUUUGUGGUCUUUGAAAUGUAAUUCUAGUUGAUUACAUUCCUGCGCUUCUGCGAUUAUGCCCAUUUCAGCAGUCUCUCUCAGCGUUUUAGCCUAAUUCAUUCUGCCAUUUAGGAAAUGUAAUCCAAAAUCAACAGCGCUGCUUCAGCACUUCUGGGUCCCAGUGUGCUGGGUGUAGUUCAGGACCAGGCCACUAGAUGACACUGUAAGCCUGGUUUCUGGGUUGAAUCCAUCCACAAAAGUGCUCAGUUCUGACUGAACACUUGGGAUCCAUUGUCUGUUUUUCGUUGGAACUCAAAAAGAACUGGUGUCAGAAGCAAGUACUAACACUGACCCAUAUAUCCAUCUGGUGUAAAACAGUCUCUAUCGCUCUCUGUGCAGUGAUACCUCUCCCCUUCCAGUUUCCUCACCCACCCAUACUCACCCUCCUCCCCUCUCCUCUCCUCCUCUCCACUUCCCCUCCUCUGAGCCUCUCCUCUCUCUUUCUCCUCCUCUCUCACCCUCCUCCCCUAUCCUCUCCUCCUCUCCACUUCCCCUCCUCUGAGCCUCUCCUCUCUCUUUCUCCUCCUCUCUCACCCUCCUCCCCUCUGAUGCCCCGUGUUGCCGUCCCUCGUUUUCUCAACACGCUUCUCUCUGAAACAUUUAUGACACUUAUGUU